rnacentral:lncRNA from 1 species
AAAAAAAAAAAUUUAAAAAAAAAAAAAAAAGAAAGUAAAAUCAUUCUGUUUAGUUCUAAAAAAAUUAUUCUCUAAAUCUAUUCUCUAGUGAGAACAGAUUCAAUAUUAGUUUGGGGCUUCUGAAAAAAAUCUGCUAUCAGAUAACUGACCUAAUGUACUGGGAUAUUAUUCUGGAGUAAAGUCCUACAAUUUCACUACUUAGGCUGGUUUAUGAAUGUCUAUUCAUAAAGGGAAAGAAACAGUAUAUAACUCUUUUCCAAAAAUAUAAAUAAUAUAGGGACUAUUUCAGCCUUUAUUCUCCUAUUUGUAGAUCUGAACAGUAUACCUACUUCCCUGAUAGGCAGUAUUCCUUGAAAGAACACCCUGUGUUUUCCUCUUAUUUGAAGGAUGCCUAGCAAAAAAAAAAAAAAGAUGUGACAAGUGUUGAAUAAAAGAAUAAAGUAUGGCUUCUAUCAUCAGCAGCAUUUUAACAGCCUUUAAAGUAUACUGAAUACUGGGGACAUGAUACUUAUUCCUGAUUGAUAGUUAUUUGUCUAUUGAUGCAUCUAUAAAAGUAAGAAUCAUUAAUUCUUUUGACAAAUAUUUACUGAGCAGCUAUUUUCUGCAAGGCAUGGUUUUAGGUGCUGGGAAUAUAGCAGUGAAUAAAAGAGGCAAGGUCUCUGCUCUCAUGGAAGAGAGAAAGCAAAAUGAGAACGAGUAAACAAAGAAAAACAAACGAAUAAAGUGAUUGUGAAAUGUGAAGACAACAAAAUGGGUACCUAAGAAAAAACAUAAAAUUAAUCUUUACAGUGUUGAACACCCACUAAAAAUUGUUCACCAGUUCCACUGUAGCAACUGAGUGAAUCUUAUAUAUAUGACUGUCCAUUAUAGUGCAAUGUGAUGUGGGCAUAAAGCCUAUAGUGGCUUGUUCUACUGAAGAAAACUGGAGGAGGUGAACUGUUGUGCUCUUUUUUUUCUCUUUCCAGAAGUUUAGUGGGCAUAUCUAAGUAUUCCAGAUAUUUAAAUUAGUUUAUUUAUCUAGUAUCUAAAUUAGGCAAUGUUUCAGGUAUUUCUAGCUAGUCACAUGUGUUGAUUUUCAAGAUAAUUAACACUUACCAACAUGAGCUUCUUCUUACGAAAUUCUGCCACUGUCAGAAUACUAGCUAUUCUUGCCACUUCUGCUGACUUCCCAGUCUAACUCUUCUCCAUGGGCUCAGUCAAGACUCCUAACUACGAGCUAAAUGUUAAAAAUGAAAACCACCCAGAUGUAACUGAAAUCAGAAAUGUUUUAUAUAACUUUGACUUUUCCUCAUCCAUUCUGAAAACAGAGAAUGAGAUGAUGCAUCUUCACUAUCCAAAAUUAGAUUUUUUUAAAGUUUAUAUAUUCAUUUUGAGAGAGAGAGCAUGGCCAGGAGAGGGGGGUAGGGGGAGGGUGAUGGUGAGAGAGAGAGAGAGGAUCCCAAGUAGGGAUAACCCUGACACAGGGCUUGAACUCAUGAACUGUGAGAUCAUGACCUGGGCCAAAAUCAAAAUCAAGAGUCAGACACUCAACCAACUGAGCCACCCAGGCGCCCCUGAAAUUAAAUAUUUUGUUAGUGGAAAAAAGAAAGAAAGAAAGAAAGAAAGAAUUUAGAUGUCUUCCAACAAAUAAUUAACGAUAACUCAAUUUAUACAUAGGAACGUUCUUCUAGUUAUUCAGCCAAAUGUCUUUCUCCUAGUCAAAACUUCGUAACACCUAAUCAAUUUCUUUUUUUCCAUUUGUGAGUUUGAGUGUGUCUGUCUGUGCGUGUGUGCACACAUGCACACACACAUAUGCAAUUCUAUGAGUUUUAUCAAUACCACGAUCAGGAUACAGAACAAUUUCACCAUUAAUUAAUUUUUAAUUUUUAUAAUUCUAUGCUGGUUAAUAUUUUAACACUAGCAUUUAUUUUUUAUUUUUACAAUUGCAACAUAAAGAUCUUAUCUGUUUUAGAGACACUGCUCUAGCAAAAAAGGGAGAAGGUAAACUGGCACAGCUUGAAACUAGAGGUAGGGGGCAGAAAACUAAUAAAAAAUACAUUAAAUAUUGCUACAGGGAAUGCAAUUCAACUCUAAGUAUUGAUGCCAAGAAAUCAAGAGAAAUGAUUGGGGGGGGGGGACUAAUAAGUUUCUAACAAGGGAACUAAGAAUAAAAAUGACCUCAACACAAAAGGGUAUGGCUUGCUGUGAUACAUACCACUACUUCUUUUGCAUUCAUUAGGAAACUGGUUGCUAAGUCAUUAUAUUCAGGCAUGGACAUUUAUCAGAAGAAAUAUACUCCUGAGGUUUAAAAGUCUAGAACUAUCUUGUCCAAUAUGGUAGCAAUUAGCUACGUUACUAUUGAGCACUUGAAAUAUAAGUAGAAUUGAGGUACACUGGAUUUCUAUGAAAAUUACUAUUCACAUAGAAUAUAAAAUAUUUCAUCAGUAAUUUAAAAAAUAUUAAUUACAUGCUGAAAUGAUAACAUUUUGGACAUGCUGGGUUAAAUAAGAUUUAAUGUUAUUUCACUUGUUUCUUUUAAUUUUUUUAUAUGGCUAUUAGAAGAUUUAAUCUAACAUUAUAUUUCUAUUGAAUAGUGCUGAUCUACAAUGUUACUCUAGAAUGUUACUGGUCUGUUCUGUGAAAACCACUCUGUAUAAGCUGACAGCACUGUACCAAUAAGGCUGGUAAUAUGCGUUAAGAACUUUAAGAGGAGUGGUCAUGUCUGCGCACUUGAAUCCAGCCAGUUUGGGCAGGAAUAUAAACACUGAUCAAAGAGAAUAGGUAUAGAUAGCUAUAUUCUACUUUGAAAUAUAUUUUUAAAAUCCACACUAAUUAAUGAAUAGAUGAAAGAAAGACAAACAGCUAACAAAACAAGUAUAGUAAAAUGUUAAUAGUAGAAUCAAGGAGAUGGGUGUACAGAUGUUUGCUGUAAAUUCUUUAAACUUUAAUGUAUUUUAAAAAUGUUUCAUAAUAAAAUGUUGAAAAAAAAAAGGGAAACAGGAAGCAUUGUCUCAGCAUGGAAUAGUAGCUGAUAAGGAUUAAACUGGAGGGUUAGGAGGCCUGUUCCAGAUACCAUCGCUGUUAAAAUGUAUACUUUGCAGUUUCUUUGUUGGUGGAGAACAGGACAACGAACUAUUAAUGUAUGCAUAGUAAUAGUGAAGAAAGUAUUUUUUUCUGACAACUACAGUUCUUUAUAUUUGUUAUCUGAAUUCUGCCUUCAGGAAGUAAGGCUUUUCAAUAAAACUAUAAGGUCUUUUACUUUACGUUCAAAAACCUUCUUUUAAGAGUAGAGAGUUAAUUCCUUUCAUGAAGAUGGCAGCAAAGGCAGAAGGAAGCCCUUGCCCCUCCCAAAGCCAAAGCCAAAGCAAAGGCUUUGAAGGCCAAGAAAGCAGUGCUGAAAGUCGUCCACAGUCAUAAAAAAAAGAUCCGCAGGUCACCUACAUUCCGAGGACCCAAGACACUGUGUCUCCGAAGGCAGCCCAAAUAUCCUCUAAAGAGCGCCCCCAGGAGAAACAACCUUGACCACUAUGCCAUCAUCAAGUUCCCCCUGACUACCGAGUCAGCCAUGAAGAACAUAGAAGACAACAACACUCUUGUGUUCAUUGUGGAUGUCAAGGCCAACAAGCACCAGAUCAAACAGGCUGUGAAGAAGCUCUAUGACAUUGACAUGGCCAAGGUCUACACUCUGAUCAGGCCUGAUGGAGAAAAGAAAGCAUAUGUUCAACUGGCUCCUGACUAUGAUGCUUUGGAUAUUGCCAACAAAAUUGGGAUCAUCUAAACUGAGUCCAGUUGGCUAAAUCUAAAUAUGAUUUUUUUCAACAUAAAAAAAAAAA